CCGGGUGUAGCGCAGUUGGUAGCGCGCCUGCUUUGGGAGCAGGAUGCCGCAGGUUCAAGUCCUGUCACUCGGACCA
rnacentral:tRNA from 2 species